CGAUAAGCCACGAUCUUCAGAAUCUUCAGUUUUUCAUACCAAAAAGAUAUUAGAUAAGGGAUUGCACCCAUUAGCUGCAUUGUUCUUCUUAUAACAUUUGAUAUUUUGCAGAAUUUCAUCCUAAAUUCUGUUGUUUUGUGAUAUAAUCCAUAACUCUGAGGCUAAGAUUCAGGUAAUUAUUCUUUUAUUUUUCAGUACUUUUUCUUUUUUUUGUUUCACUUCUAAUUUUUUUGUUUAUUUUGAUUUUGUGAUUUUCAUGAAAUGAAUAUACAUUCUUCAUGUUGAAGAAUAGAAGUGGAUUUGCAAAAGCACUUACGAAAGCAAUUCUUAUAUAUUGAUUUUCAUUUCGUGAAGAAUGUUGUUAAAAUUUCUUUUAGAACUUCCGUUAGUAUUACUAAACUAGCUCCUUGGAUAUAGAAUAAUAAUACUAAACUAGCACUUUGAAAUUAAACACACAAAUCAUAAUAGCAUGAACCAUGAAUUAAUUUAUUUUUUGGAUGCUUGA